rnacentral:tRNA from 1 species
CGGGGUAUAGUGUAUCGGUAACACACACCCUUGGGGUGGGUGUGACGGCGGGUUCGACUCCCGCUACCCCGA